GAACGUUACCAAACUGUUGCCUCGGCGGGAUCUCUGCCCCGGGUGCGUCGCAGCCCCGGACCAAGGCGCCCGCCGGAGGACCAACCAAAACUCUUAUUGUAUACCCCCUCGCGGGUUUUUUUAUAAUCUGAGCCUUCUCGGCGCCUCUCGUAGGCGUUUCGAAAAUGAAUCAAAACUUUCAACAACGGAUCUCUUGGUUCUGGCAUCGAUGAAGAACGCAGCGAAAUGCGAUAAGUAAUGUGAAUUGCAGAAUUCAGUGAAUCAUCGAAUCUUUGAACGCACAUUGCGCCCGCCAGUAUUCUGGCGGGCAUGCCUGUCCGAGCGUCAUUUCAACCCUCGAACCCCUCCGGGGGGUCGGCGUUGGGGAUCGGCCCUGCCUCUUGGCGGCGGCCGUCUCCGAAAUACAGUGGCGGUCUCGCCGCAGCCUCUCCUGCGCAGUAGUUUGCACACUCGCAUCGGGAGCGCGGCGCGUCCACAGCCGUUAAACACCCAACUUCUGAAAUGUUGACCUCGGAUCAGGUAGGAAUACCCGCUGAACUUAA
rnacentral:rRNA from 2 species